rnacentral:rRNA from 1 species
GAUGGGGUCGCGGCCCAUUAGGUAGUCGGCGGGGUAACGGCCCACCGAGCCUGCGAUGGGUAGCCGGACUGAGAGGUCGAUCGGCCACAUUGGGACUGAGAUACGGCCCAGACUCCUACGGGAGGCAGCAGUGGGGAAUAUUGCGCAAUGGGGGAAACCCUGACGCAGCAACGCCGCGUGCGGGAUGAAGGCUUUCGGGUUGUAAACCGCUUUCAGCAGGGAAGAUAGUGACGGUACCUGCAGAAGAAGCCCCGGCUAAAUACGUGCCAGCAGCCGCGGUAAUACGUAUGGGGCGAGCGUUAUCCGGAUUCAUUGGGCGUAAAGCGCGCGCAGGCGGGCUGCUAAGCGGGACCUCUAAUCUCGGGGCUCAACCCCGAGCCGGGUUCCGAACUGGCAGCCUCGGGUUCGGUAGGGGUAGGCGGAAUUCCCGGUGUAGCGGUGGAAUGCGCAGAUAUCGGGAAGAACACCGAUGGCGAAGGCAGCCUACUGGGCCGCAACCGACGCUGAGGCGCGAAAGCUGGGGGAGCGAACAGGAUUAGAUACCCUGGUAGUCCCAGCCGUAAACGAUGG